rnacentral:rRNA from 1 species
UAGCAUAUCAAUAAGCGGAGGAAAAGAAACUAACAAGGAUUCCCCUAGUAGCGGCGAGCGAAGCGGGAAGAGCUCAAAUUUAUAAUCUGGCACCUUCGGUGUCCGAGUUGUAAUCUCUAGAAAUGUUUUCCGCGUUGGACCGCACACAAGUCUGUUGGAAUACAGCGGCAUAGUGGUGAGACCCCUGUAUAUGGUGCGGACGCCCAGCGCUUUGUGAUACAUUUUCGAAGAGUCGAGUUGUUUGGGAAUGCAGCUCAAAUUGGGUGGUAAAUUCCAUCUAAAGCUAAAUAUUGGCGAGAGACCGAUAGCGAACAAGUACCGUGAGGGAAAGAUGAAAAGCACUUUGGAAAGAGAGUUAACAGUACGUGAAAUUGUUGGAAGGGAAACGCUUGAAGUCAGACUUGCUUGCCGAGCAAUCGGUUUGCAGGCCAGCAUCAGUUUUCCGGGAUGGAUAAUGGUAGAGAGAAGGUAGCAGUUUCGGCUGUGUUAUAGCUCUCUGCUGGAUACAUCUUGGGGGACUGAGGAACGCAGUGUGCCUUUGGCGGGGGUUUCGACCUCUUCACACUUAGGAUGCUGGUGGAAUGGCUUUAAACGACCCGUCUUGAAACACGGACCAAGGAGUCUAACAUGCUUGCGAGUAUUUGGGUGUCAAACCCGGAUGCGUAAUGAAAGUGAAUGGAGGUGGGAACCGCAAGGUGCACCAUCGACCGAUCUGGAUUUUUAAUGAUGGAUUUGAGUAAGAGCACGUAUGUUGGGACCCGAAAGAUGGUGAACUAUGCCUGAAUAGGGCGAAGCCAGAGGAAACUCUGGUGGAGGCUCGUAGCGGUUCUGACGUGCAAAUCGAUCGUCAAAUUUGGGUAUAGGGGCGAAAGACUAAUCGAACCAUCUAGUAGCUGGUUCCUGCCGA